UACGUAGGGUGCGAGCGUUGUCCGGAAUUAUUGGGCGUAAAGAGCUCGUAGGCGGUCUGUCGCGUCGGUCGUGAAAACCUGCAGCUUAACUGUGGGCGUGCGGUCGAUACGGGCAUGACUGGAGUUCGGCAGGGGAGACUGGAAUUCCUGGUGUAGCGGUGAAAUGCGCAGAUAUCAGGAGGAACACCGGUGGCGAAGGCGGGUCUCUGGGCCGAUACUGACGCUGAGGAGCGAAAGCGUGGGGGAGCGAACAGGA
rnacentral:rRNA from 1 species